ensembl:snRNA U6 U6 spliceosomal RNA
UUGCUUUGAUAGCACAUAUAUUGUAUUUGCAAUGACACAGAAAAUUAUAGCAUAGCCCCAUACAACGACAAUACUUAUGCUAGUGAAACAUUCCUUAUUUUU